rnacentral:rRNA from 1 species
UAAUACGAGGGGUGCUAGCGUUGUCCGGAUUUACUGGGCGUAAAGGGUACGUAGGCGUUUUAAUAAGUUGUAUGUUAAAUAUCUUAGCUUAACUAAGAAAGUGCAUCCAAAACUGUUAAAAUAGAGUUUGAGAGAGGAACGCAGAAUUCAUGGUGGAGCGGUGACAUGCGUAGAUAUCAUGAGGAAAGUCAAAUGCGAAGGCAGCCUUCUGGCUCAAAACUGACGCUGAGGUACGAAAGCGUGGGGAGCGAACAGGAUUAGAUACCCUGGUAGUCCACGCCGUAAACGAUGAGUAUUUGGUGCUGGGGGAUUCGACCCUUUCAGUGCCGUAGCUAACGCGAUAAAUACUCCGCCUGGGGACUACGAUCGCAAGAUUG